rnacentral:tRNA from 1 species
GGUGUGGCUCAGUUUGGCUAGAGCGCCUGCUUUGGGAGCAGGAAGUCGCAGGUUCGAGUCCUGUCACC